rnacentral:rRNA from 1 species
UACAGAGGUCCCGAGCGUUGUUCGGAUUCAUUGGGCGUAAAGGGUGCGUAGGCGGCGGGGUAAGUUUGAUGUGAAAUCCCUGGGCUCAACCCUGGAAUUGCAUUGAAUACUACCUUGCUAGAGUACCGGAGAGGAAACUGGAAUUUACGGUGUAGCAGUGAAAUGCGUAGAGAUCGUAAGGAAGACCAGUGGCGAAGGCGAGUUUCUGGACGGUAACUGACGCUGAGGCACGAAGGCCAGGGGAGCAAACGGG